UGAUAUGAAUUGAUAAGCUACAACAAAAGACAUACACAAGUCUUAUUCACUAUACCUCUACGUAUAAAGGACAUUUAAAUGUGUACUUCUAGCAUUACACUGUAAUGUGACGGCCAGUGACUAGUAUAGGCACUAUACACGAUGUUUUUCAUUUAAUACUAAUUAUUUCUAUUGGGGGAUUUAAAAAAUGUUCGAAAUAUGAAAAGAAGGGAUACAACAACUUUUGGUCCGAGCAACUUCUGAUUUAUCUUCCUCUUACAAUUCAACCAAGCCUCGGACAUGGAAGAGGAAACUUUGGAUGAGGUAAGAACAUCAAAACCUCUUAAACAACUUAUAUAGUGUGACUUUACUCUCAUAGAAUAUUGUUAUGUACUUGUAAGUUUGAGUUAACUCAGAAUAAAUAUCAAUAUUUUUGCAAAACUUAUGAAUAUGUCUUAGAUAACAGAUAGGUGUAUAUCCAAUAUGUCAAUGACACAGCUACCAACUACACAAGUAACCCUGUAUAAGUCUUCAUAGAACUUUCAAUAACAGAUCACUGUCUUUUUAAUAUAUCAAUGAGACCUCUACCCAACAUCAAAAGUAACCAAUGGGCCUCGGUGGCCAAGUGGUCUAAGUAGUUCUACUACUGUAAUCACUAGCCAGUCAACACUGAGGUUGUGAGUUCGAACCCCGCUCGUGCGGGUGCACUUGACUCCAAUCUUAAUUGACUAGGAUUGUCAGUUUUCCUAUCGAAGGUCGGUGGUUUUCUCCGGGCACUCCGGCUUCCUCCACCAAUAAAAACUGGCCGCCACGAAAUAGCCCAAAGGUGGCGCUUAAAACAUUGUAAAAGUGGCGUUAAAACACCAACAAUCAAUCAAUCAAUCAAAAGUAACCAUGCAUAGGUCAACUUACGGUUUUUAAUAACAGAUCAAUUGCAAUUCAAUAUGUCAAUGUGACAGCUACCCAUGAAUACAAAUAUAUAUUUAGGAGUAAUACCACAAUGGUUUUUCCCCUAUUUGUCUUUCUUAAAAUGGCAUUUUUUUUAAAUUAUGCAGAAUCUAUCUUUGUUUCGAAUAAAAAACUACUUGGCAUGAGUAAAAUUGUAUCCUCUCCAGUACUACAGCGAACAUUUCACAUAACAUUUCAUUGCAUGUAAGAUAAUAACCAUUACCGGAAGUAGACCAAUCAAAUUUUUACCCCCUUUUUGUCCUGUUUACAAUUUUAAGUAAUCAUGUCACCUUAUAUUUUCAAAAUAUUUUAUAGAAACACAGAAAAAAAAAGAAUGGUGAUUCGAAACCCACAAUAUAUAUGUUGAUGAAUCAGAAAUGUUUUACUGCAAUAAAAUGUAGGAUUAAUUUUAAUUAAUUAACUGUCAAAUUCAAGGAAAUAAUUUUUGUCAAUCCUUUUUCGUAUGAAACCGGAUGUGACGUACAUAUAUAUUAUGAGUUUGUGUUAUAACACCUAAAAAUUGUCAAUAUCAACUAACACAUCACUGCAUAUGUCUAUUCAUGCAAAUGAAAAUCUCCAUACGUGAGCUAUAUUAGAUCAACUACAAGCUCAACAUCAGAAAAAGAAUUAUUCAAAUAAUCAGACAAACAAAUAAGAAUUAUAAAGGAGGAGAAAAAAAAACCAAGGGGCAAUGAAAAAACAUAAGGAAGGAGGAAAAAAAGAGGACAAAAAGCAUAAGGAGAGAGUAAACAACUAAGAGCAAUACAAAAACAUAAAGAAGGAGGUGGAAAUUAAACCAAAGAGAGAAAACAUAUUCGAAGGAAGAUGAAUGAAACCAAGGGGAUAACAAAAAUACACGAGAAUGGAAGAAGAAAUGAACAAAAAGAGCGAUAACAAUUAAAAAAGGAGGAUGAUAGAAACCAAGUGGGCAUUUAUACAUUCAAAAGAUGGACGAAGACGGAUACGAAAGGACCAAUACAAAUAUAUCUACAUACGUGUGAAUAGAUUUAUAAUCUAUAUUAGAUCGACUACAAGCUCAAAAUCAGAAAAAAAAACAAUUAUAUAAUCAGAGACAAACAAAUGAGUAUUAUCAAGGAGGAGUAAAGAAACCAAGGGGCAAUGAAAAAAACAUAAGGAAGGAGGAACAAAAGAGGACAAAAAGCAUAAGGAGAAAGUAAACAACUAAGAGCAAUACAAAAACAUAAGGAAGGAGGUGAAAAUUAAACCAAGGAGAGAAAAACAUAUUCGAAGAAGAUGAAUGAAACCAAGGGGAUAAAACAAAUACACGAGAAUGGAAGAAGAAAUAAACGGAAAGAGCCAUAACACUUAAAGAAGGAGGAUAAAAGAAACCGAGUGGGCAUUUAUACAUUCAAAAGGUGGACGAAAACGGAUACGAAGGGAUCAAUACAAAUAUAGACGGAGGGGGGAGUUAAAAACCAAGAAAGACAAUUAAAAAAAUGCUGGGAAGAAAAGCAAUAUAAACAUCAGGCGGAAGGAGGUAGAAAAUAAAGGGCACAAUUAUGGUACAAAGAGGGGAGAGGAGAGAAACCAAAGUUACAAUUCAAAUCCAUAAAGAGGGUUGAAGACAUAAAACAAGGGGGCAGCAACAAACAUAAGGAGGGAGGUGGAAAGAAAGGAGACACAAUCAACACAUAAGGAGGGAGGAAGAAAAAAAACAAGGAGGCAAUAUCAAAAGAAACAUUAGAAGGGAUGAGGAGAAAAACCAAAAUUGAAAUGAACAAACAUAAAGAGAAGGGAAAAGAACAACUAAGAAGGUAAUGGGAAUACAGAGGGAGGAGGAAAGAAAGAGCUAAUUAAAAUAUACGAAUAGAACCAUGCCGGCAAUUAAAAUGAUAUUGAAGCAGGAGGAAUGAAAUCAAGUGGACAGCACAAAAAUCACAAGGGAAACGGAGUAAAGAAACCAAAGGCGAUAAAAAAACGAACAUUAGGGCGGAGGUCAAAAAACAAAAAGGGCAGUUAAAAUCAUGUGGAAAGAGUAGGAAAACAGGGGGCAAUGUAAUUAAACUUAUCAAAGAAAACAUAACCAAGGUGACAAUAAAAAACGUAAGGAGUGGAGUAGAAGGAAACCAAGGGAACAAAAGAUAACAUCCGAACAGAGAAAGAAAAAAAACGAGAGGGGCUAUUAGAAACAUAAGGGAGGAGGUAAAACACAACCGAGGACGAUACAAGUAAGAAGAAUGAAUAAAGAGAAUAUAAACUAAGUGGGAACUACGUAUUAUAACAUAAGGAGGGAGAAGGAAAAACCAAGAAGGAAGUAAACAAAAACCAAAAAAACGGGAGGAGAUAGGAAGGAAUCUAUGUACACAUAAAUAUAGAGGAAGACAGAAACCAAGGGGUGCAAUUGAUAAGGAUAGGAUCCAAGUUACAAUAUACUAGUCCAGUACCCACGAAUGAAGUCCCUUAAUAAAUCUUCCAUCUUUUAAAUGGGAUAGUGUAGCGAGAUUAAAACUAUGUAAAGAUGCUUAAAAUUGUAGUAUUGUAAACUGUAUUCAUUAAACUUUCAACUUCUGUUUAAUUUUGAGUGAUUCUGAAAUGUAUAUGGUGGAUGAUUGUCUGAGUAAAUGGUCCAAAUUUUAUUUCCGAUUUUAACCAGAAAGUUACUUAAAUGACCCUAUUAAUACUCAAACCAGUAUUGCUCUCUGAAAUGCCGGUCAUGACCCUCUAAGAAUACUCCAGGAAACAAUGAAGAGGGCUACUAGUAUGGGAAAGUAACUGAAAUUUUGUAGUCUAAUAUAGGGAAUAAAACAUCUGCCCCUCGAUUUGGAUAAAACUGCAUUGAAGUAAUGGGGAAAGUCUUUGGGUCCCCGUUCCUUAUACGAAAAGAGGAUGUAAGAAACAAAAAAAGGCAAUACAAUUACAUUAUGAGGGAGGAGUAAAUUAACCAAGAGGCAAUAAACAAUAUAAGUAGACAGGAGGGAAGAAGAGCGACAAAAAAUAAAACAUCAGAAUGGAGGAGGAAAGAAACUAAAACGGCAAUAAAAACACAUAAGGAGGGAGGAGAAAAGAAACCAAGGGGGCGGUACAAAAUAUAAGGAGAGGGUAGGAAAGAAACCAAGGAAGGCAAUUAAGACAAAAGCAGGGAGGAGACAUGAAAGAAAGGAGACGAUGAAAACCAAAAGGCGGAAAGAAGUAGGAAAGAGGGGCACAACUAUUGUAUAAAAAGGCGAAAGGAAAGAAACCAAGGGUGAUAUUCAAAAUCAUGGAUAGAAGACAUGAACCAAGGGGGAAGAAACACCAUAAGGAGGAAGAUUGAAAGGAAGGAGACAAAAUCAAAACAUGAAGAAAGACGAGGAAAAACCAAUAAGGCAAUAAACACAUCAGAUGGGUGGAGGAGAAAAACCAAAGUGCAAUACACAAACAUAAGGAGAGAAGAGUUGGGAAAACCAUGAGGGUAGCAAAACAUCAAACGGGAGGAGUAAAGAAUGAGACAAUACAAACGUCAUAAGGGAUUAGGAAAGCAACCAAGGGGGCAAUACAAAACAUAAAGAGUGAGGAGGACACAAAACAAAGGACGAUAUUUUAUUUGGAAGGAGAUUAAAAAAAACUAGUCGUAAAUACAAAUACACGAGACGGGAAAAAGAAUGAAACCAAGGAGACGAUAAAAAUAAAAAGGAGGGAGAAUAAAAACUAAGUGGGAAAUACAAAUGAUAAGGAGACAGGAGGAAAGAAACCGAGAGGACAACACAAAAGGGGAGGGAAGAAAGAAACCAAAGGAGCAAACCAAACAAUACAGAAACAUAAGGACGGAAGGGUAAAAUAAAGAAGCCAUUAAAAAUUACAAUUGGCGAGUAGGAACGAAGGGGGCACAGCAAACAUAAGAAUGAAAGAGGAAAGAAACCAAGGGGGCAAUAAAAACAUUAAGAAGGCGUAGGAAGGAAACUAACCGGGCAAUACAAAACAUCAGAAACCAAGGUUUACACAAAAACAUAAGGAGUGAGGACAAAACAAAACCAAGGACGAUAAGAUUAUAAGGAAGGAAAAACAAGUGGGCAAUAAAACACACGAUGAGAGAGGGCAAUACAAACAUAAGGAGACAGGAGAAAUGAAGAGCAACAAUGAAAAAAAAAACAUAAUUAUUGAGGAGGAAAGAAACUAUAACGACAAUAACAACAUAUAAAGUGGGGUGAGAAAAUAAAACUUGGAGACAGUAAACAACACAAAGACGGAGGACGAAAAAGGGAUAAUUUAAAAAACGUCAGAUUGGAUGAGGAAAGAAACCAAUGGGGCAAUGAAAACACAUAAGUAUGGAAGAAAAAAAAUCAAAGGGCAGUAACACACAUAGGCAGGAAGACAUGAAGGAUGAGAAUACAAAAAAAUCAAACGGAAGAGCAUAGAAACCAAAAUGGCUUUACAAAAACCAUAAUUGGGAGAGGAACAAAACUAAGAUGGCAAUCCAAAUGAUAAGGUGGGAGACUUACACAUAUAUAAGUAUGGAGGACGGAAGAAACCAAAGGGCAAUAUAAAACAUAAGGAUUAGGAGGAAAUUAACCAAACGAGAACAAAACUUAAGGAGUGAAGAGGAUAGAUACUUACAGUAGGGAGAAUCAAAAAACAUGACUGAGGAGGAAAGAGGCCAAGGAGCAUAACAAACAUCGCAGGAUAUAAAAUAAUAAGCAAGGAAGAGGAUAGUAACAGAAUGAGGAAACACAAUAAGGAGGGAGGUUGAGAGAAACCAAUAGGACAAUAUUAGCAUACAGAGUGAAGAGAAAAGACACGAAGGUGCAAUACACAAACUUUUGGAGUGAAGAGGAUAAAUAAAAAGGAGCAGUAGGAAAGAAUACUUUGAA